AACGAACGCUGGCGGCAUGCCUAACACAUGCAAGUCGAACGAAGCCUUCGGGCUUAGUGGCGCACGGGUGCGUAACGCGUGGGAAUCUGCCCUUGGGUUCGGAAUAACAGUUAGAAAUGACUGCUAAUACCGGAUGAUGUCUUCGGACCAAAGAUUUAUCGCCCAUGGAUGAGCCCGCGUAGGAUUAGGUAGUUGGUGGGGUAAUGGCCCACCAAGCCGACGAUCCUUAGCAGGUCUGAGAGGAUGAUCAGCCACACUGGGACUGAGACACGGCCCAGACUCCUACGGGAGGCAGCAGUGGGGAAUAUUGGACAAUGGGCGAAAGCCUGAUCCAGCAAUGCCGCGUGAGUGAUGAAGGCCUUAGGGUUGUAGAGCUCUUUUACCAGGGAUGAUAAUGACAGUACCUGGAGAAUAAGCUCCGGCUAACUCCGUGCCAGCCGCCGCAGUAACAC
rnacentral:rRNA from 1 species